rnacentral:rRNA from 1 species
AUGAGCGAGGAGGGGCGCUGGAGGAAGAGGAGGCGCGUGGAUCCUGGCAGGGAGGGUCCAGAUCCGGUCGAGGGCGGGGCGACCGGCGGCGGCGGCGGCUUCAACUCCGGGGUGGCAAGUUUGCUUCCUGAGAGAGCAAAGAGUGAGCUGAGAGACAUGGAGAGAGAGCACGGGAGGGAAGGAGAAUGGAAGAGGGAGGCGGGCCGUGGUUGGUUCUCCGGCGGCACUGGAUCGGUGCACGGGCGCGGAGCUCCUGCUGGGGACGCGAAGAUCCAGGGAGGCACUCGGGUGCGAGGCUGCGGGUCAAUGCAGAGAUGGCGCUGCUCCUGCAACUUUGAAGAAGGCGCCGAGACGUCAUCUACAUCCGCAGGUUUGGGUCCAUCUAUAACAUGCUUGACCGGGCGAUCACGCGGCCGUCGAGCACUCUUAUCUACUGGUCAUAAGCUCUUACCAACUAAGGGUGUGGAGAAGUAUCGUUCAGAAAGGAGAUACAGUGGUCGAUGCCACCUGCGGGAAUGUCAACGAUACGCUCGCUCUGCUCUGCUCAAGAUGGUGGCUGAUGAAAGCGGGCGAGGGCGUUUCUAUGGAUUGGACAUCCAAGACUCCGCGAUAGACAGCACUUCCUCUUUUCUGAAAAUGGCCGUCGACAGCCAUGAGAGGGAGCUAGUCAAAUUGUUUUGCAUAUGUCACAGUAGAAUGGAGGAUAUCAUUCCAAAAGAUUCUCCUGUGAGGCUUGUAGCAUUCAAUCUGGGCUACCUUCCAGGAGGAGAUAAACAAAUAAUCACAGUACCUGAGACAACUGAGCUGGCACUACAAGCUGCCAGCAGAAUUGUUGGCUCAGGGGGACUCAUAAGUGUCCUUGUCUACAUUGGGCAUCUGGGUGGAAGGGAUGAACUCGAUAUUGUUGAAUCAUUUGCGUCAAGCUUGCCUGCUGAUACAUGGGUGAGCUGCAAGUUUGAAAUGAUUAACAGGCCAAUUGCUCCAGUACUAGUUCUCCUACACAAAAGAUGA